rnacentral:lncRNA from 1 species
AUUGCCGCAGGUUGUUUUCUCAUCAUUGACAAGCUCCCUCAUCCAAAUUCUCCAUCUCUUACAAAAUCAUACUUGAUUGUUGCUCUGGCACAGUUCCAUAGCCUUCUUUUUUGUAAUUUGCAUGUGUGCCUUGUGAAGGACAUGGUGUGCCCUUUGGUUAUAUAUAUUGAUACCACAUAAUGGAAGCGAUACGAAGUAUGUCAAGGUUGCUCUUUUUUGAUAAAUGGCCAUGAGAAAAUAAAUAACAUCACAAUAAAACACAAGUAUUUUAUUACUAUCAGCUAAUACAAU